rnacentral:rRNA from 1 species
ACUCCUGCGGGAGGCAGCAGUGGGGAAUAUUGGACAAUGGGCGCAAGCCUGAUCCAGCCAUGCCGCGUGAGUGAUGAAGGCCCUAGGGUUGUAAAGCUCUUUCACCGGAGAAGAUAAUGACGGUAUCCGGAGAAGAAGCCCCGGCUAACUUCGUGCCAGCAGCCGCGGUAAUACGAAGGGGGCUAGCGUUGUUCGGAAUUACUGGGCGUAAAGCGCACGUAGGCGGAUCGAUCAGUCAGGGGUGAAAUCCCAGGGCUCAACCCUGGAACUGCCUUUGAUACUGUCGAUCUGGAGUAUGGAAGAGGUGAGUGGAAUUCCGAGUGUAGAGGUGAAAUUCGUAGAUAUUCGGAGGAACACCAGUGGCGAAGGCGGCUCACUGGUCCAUUACUGACGCUGAGGUGCGAAAGCGUGGGGAGCAAACAGGAUUAGAAACCCCGAGUAGUCCCAUGA